UACGAAGGGGGCUAGCGUUGCUCGGAACCACUGGGCGUAAAGGGUGCGUAGGCGGGUCUUUAAGUCAGGGGUGAAAUCCUGGAGCUCAACUCCAGAACUGCCUUUGAUACUGGUGAUCUUGAGUCCGGGAGAGGUGAGUGGAACUGCGAGUGUAGAGGUGAAAUUCGUAGAUAUUCGCAAGAACACCAGUGGCGAAGGCGGCUCACUGGUCCGGUACUGACGCUGAGGUGCGAAAGCGUGGGGAGCAAACAGG
rnacentral:rRNA from 1 species